rnacentral:rRNA from 1 species
GACGAACGCUGGCGGCGCGCCUAACACAUGCAAGUCGAACGAGCGAGCGAGAGCUUGCUUUCUCGAGCGAGUGGCGAACGGGUGAGUAACGCGUGAGGAACCUGCCUCAAAGAGGGGGACAACAGUUGGAAACGACUGCUAAUACCGCAUAAGCCCACGGCUCGGCAUCGAGCCGGGGGAAAAGGAGCAAUCCUCCUUGAGAUUGCCUCGCGUCCGAUUAGCUGGUUGGUGAGGUAACGGCCCAUCAAGGCGACGAACGGUAGACGGACAGUGAGGUUGAACCGCCACAUUGGGACGAGGACACGGCCCAGAAUCCUACGGGAGGCAGCAGUGAGGAAUAUUGCACAAUGGGGGAAAUCCUGAUGCAGCGACGCCGGGUGGAGGAAGAAGGUCUUCGGAUUGUAAACUCCUGUUGUUGGGGAAGAUAAUGACGGUACCCAACAAGGAAGUGACGGCUAACUACGUG